rnacentral:rRNA from 1 species
AGCAGCCGCGGUAAUUCCAGCUCCAAUAGCGUAUAUUAAAGUUGUUGCAGUUAAAAAGCUCGUAGUUGAAUUUCGGGGUUCUUCCGUUGGUCAGGCUAACAAGUCUGUACUAGCGUGUAGAAUCUCUACCUUCUGGGGAACCAUCAUGUUAUUAAUUUAGCGUGGUGGGAAACCAGGACCUUUACCUUGAAAAAUUAGAGUGUUCAAAGCAGGCUUACGUCUGAAUACAUUAGCAUGGAAUAAUAAAAUAGGACGGUGGUCCUGUUUUGUUGGUUUCUGAAUCACCGUAAUGAUUAAUAGGGAUAGUUGGGGGCAUUAGUAUUCAAUUGUCAGAGGUGAAAUUCUUGGAUUUAUUGAAGACUAACUUCUGCGAAAGCAUUUGCCAAGGAUGUUUUCAUUAAUCAAGAACGAAAGUUAGGGGAUCGAAGACGAUCAGACACCGUCGUAGUCUUAACCAUAAAACUAUGCCGACUAGGGAUCGGACGAUGUUAAAUUUUAUUGUACUCGUUCGGCGCCUUAC